rnacentral:lncRNA from 1 species
UUCAACAAAGUCAACAGAUCCCCAUACUGGUCAAUGAACCCCUUCAGAUGAUCACUGGUCACAAAACUGCUCAACUCAAUCAGAGACGUCAGAGACUCACGAUGAAAGCUAUAGGAACAGGUCUUCCGCUUCGGCUCGGGAACUGUUGCCAUCUCUAUCAAUGAAUCAAGCUCUGGAAUGUACCUGAGAAAUGAUAUGCAUGCAGGGAUUAGU